GACAGAGGUGCCGAGCGUUAGGCGGAAUCACUGGGCUUAAAGCGUGUGUAGGCGGGUCGUUAAGUGCCUUGUGAAAUCCCACGGCUCAACCGUGGAACUGCUGGGCAUACUGCCGAUCUUGAGCCAGCUAGGGGCAACCGGAACAAACGGUGGAGCGGUGAAAUGCGUAGAUAUCGUUUGGAACGCCAAUGGUGAAAACAGGUUGCUGGGGCUGUGCUGACGCUGAGACACGAAAGCCAGGGGAGCGAACAGG
rnacentral:rRNA from 1 species